CCAGACGUCCCCCUAUUCCGGGACAGUCCCAGUUUUGGUGGCCUGUCCCGGAAAGUCCCCGUUUUUAACUGUGCGUUAAAAACAGAACAAAGUGAAAUAUUUUACUUGGCAAGAAAGACCGGGCAGCAGAGCCUACCGGUUGACGUCUCAAUCACGUUGUGCUUGUUUUCUCCAGCAGAGGGGUCUGCUCGCUAUAGCAGCUUCAUUCACUCUUAUUCUACUAACUACUUGCUCGCGAUAGUUUUAGAGAAAACUGCUGUGGAAAACUCGGCCAGAAGUUAGCAAGUGUCAAGUGAAUCCACAACAUCACCAGAAACGUCUUUUCAAGCCAGGAGAGCUGUGACUUCACCUGGUUUGCGGAGCACCCUCUGCGCUGUGUGGUGCUGGCUGCCCAGGCCUCAGCUGAGAUGUGGCGCAGGAACGGCCUCUCGCUCGUCAGCCAGGUGGAAGGCGGGAUGGUUUUGAUGGGCUUGUGGUGUCAACUGUUGCUAAACCCCUAACUUUUUAGGGAUUGAAUUCACAUUUUGUUACGCUGUCAUGUCAGUUAGUGUGUCAGUGUAUGGUUAUUUGUAAUUUGCAGGUGUACUAUUAUCAAAAUGCAGGGAUGAGAUGUUUGACAAGGAUGUCAUCAUGCUACAGGUUAGUGUUUAACAGCUGCAACGUUGUCCUGCACUCACCUGCUUUUUAUUCUAUAGAGUCUCCUGACUACCAAUGCGUGAUUUAAUUCUCCUCUUUUUUUCAGAGUGCUGCUUCCAAAAUGGACCCCAACCACUUCAUCAUGCUGAUCUUGCAGAGAUUUGAGCUCUUUGAUGUGUUCAAUGGAAGUCACUUAAGCAAAGACCAAGAACUGCUGAAACAGUGGAACCGGUUAACAAGAGAUGUUCUACCUCCUCAUCAUUGUUGGUACAUACCUAAGCUGCUUUCUAAACAACAACAUCUCUACUAAAGCUUCCAUGUCUUCUCCCUGGACCUCCUCAAUGUCCACCU